AACGUAGGUUCCGAGCGUUAUCCGGAUUUACUGGGCGUAAAGCGCGUUCAGGCGGUUUGGCAAGUCGGGCAUGAAAUCUCUCGGCUCAACCGGGAGAGGUUGUCCGAUACUGCUGGACUUGAGGGCAGUAGAGGGUGGUGGAAUUCCAGGUGUAGCGGUGAAAUGCGUAGAUAUCUGGAGGAAUACCGGUGGCGAAGGCGGCAUCCUGGACCGACAUUGACGCUGAGGAGCGAAAGCCAGGGGAGCAAACGGG
rnacentral:rRNA from 1 species